GAUAGUUGGGAUUUGGUAUACCCAACGAAGAGGAAUUUUAGUUUCUUUAAAUAAUUUAAUGGUUGAAUUAAAUUAUCUUUCUGAAAGGGGGCCGGUUGGACAAAUUGGUGUUGGAGCGUGGGAUUCUUUCUCGACUUAAAGGGAGUUAGCGCAACCUUGAUUUUGGGGGCCCUGCUGCUUGGAAAGCACACCUCCUCUUACUUUUAGGACUCGACAACCAAAUCUCCAGGUAGAGGACGAGGCAAGGGCAAGGGCAAGCUGGCGAGCGACCCGAAGUGAGACCGUGGAGGGCCAUAGGGACUACCGCUUCCGCUUAUUCUUAUUUCAGAUUUUCGCAUUUGAAUUUGAGUACUUUUCAUCACUUACCAUCUUUUAUGUAGAUAGGGCCCGAGUAGGACUUCAGAACGCUUUUACAUUUUUGCAUGACUACCUUGUUUGAAUUUUAUAAAUGAAAUUUCUUA